rnacentral:piRNA from 1 species
UUGGUUUUCGGGGAUAAUUGC